rfam:Paraburkholderia phenazinium strain GAS95 genome assembly, contig: Ga0132017_12
UCGAGCCGGAUGCGGUGAAAGUCGCAAGUCCGGUUCCAAGGGGGCUCCUCUUCCGUAAGGAAGGGGGGCUACCCUCC